UGAAGAAAACGGACUGUUAACGUCUUUGUUAUGUCACGUGUUGUCGCCAGGCGGAAGUUCCUCGACGUCCGACAUUCAGCCAAUCAAAGAUGCCAGAAACAGCCGCGUUGUUAUGAAUGAAUGCGAAACACGGCCCAAUGUCGACUGGAUACAUUGAACGGAAUGGCUCCCAAAAGGGAAAACCGCUUCAAAGGAGCGUUCGAAAGCGUUAAGCAGUCACAAAGACUUCUAAAAUAAAAAGAAACUGCUUCAAGGGAGCCUUCGAAAACGCUUUCAAGUUGUAUAACCCAGCUCUGCAUCAAGCAAGGAAGGCAAGGAGCAGCGUGUCAUUUUGUUUCUUCAGCUCUGUGAUGUAGCGAAAAGCCUGGUCCAGGAUCAUGUUCUUACUCUGCAUACACAGGACAAGGAGGAACCGUGUCAAAACCAUAAAGCCGGAAAUUGAAAGACACAGCAAAGUGGUAAAGUCAAGCAAUUAUCGAUACCAUCUCUGAUAAUUCACAGGGUGAGUAAUUUGUCUUCCUUCCCUUAUACUUGUAUCUUGACGACAGACAUCAUCUUUACUGCAAAUAGUCAUUUAUUUAGACGUUAAAAAGUCAUACAAUAUAGAGCUCCAGAAAAAGAUAAAAUUCUUCAAAGAAAGAAACCAUGCUUAUUCUACAGUAGAGAGGACACAAGUCUCCUUGCAUGCAUACGGAGUCAGAGCUUCCUCUGGGUAAAACACGCUCGCAGGCACGCACGCAUACACGUUCGCACAAGAGCUUCAAAAAGAAAAACCACAAGCUGACCACUUCGGCGGCCAAUUCUCGGCAGGAAGUUGUUGGGGGGGCGACCAGCUCUGCCAUGUCGCCCUCCAUUAAACAAAAAAAAAAGUGUUUCCCCUUUGCAGAAGAACGCAUUGACAUUCAAUACUAUUUCCCAAACCCAGGAGAACCUCUGAAACGCUCAACCUCUGCAAUGUGAAAAAUAAAACCAAACAAAAAUCAAAAGAACAGCUAAAUGGGGUUUUAAAUGAAUUUCAAACACACCACCACCUUAAGUGUUCCAAAUGGCCAACGGAGAAAACAUUCA